UACGUAGGUCCCGAGCGUUAUCCGGAUUUAUUGGGCGUAAAGCGAGCGCAGGUGGUUUAUUAAGUCUGGUGUAAAAGGCAGUGGCUCAACCAUUGUAUGCAUUGGAAACUGGUAGACUUGAGUGCAGGAGAGGAGAGUGGAAUUCCAUGUGUAGCGGUGGAAUGCGUAGAUAUAUGGAGGAACACCGGUGGCGAAAGCGGCUCUCUGGCCUGUAACUGACACUGAGGCUCGAAAGCGUGGGGAGCAAACAGG
rnacentral:rRNA from 1 species